rnacentral:lncRNA from 1 species
CUAGUGGCGCAAUACCAGGGGGGCACUAGGGGUCACGUGAGGAACGGAAGGAAGCUAUGCUUGGGGGACCAGGAAUAAAGUACAAGUCAAUGCUUCCCGUGAGUCUGAGUCAAGUCGAUACAUUACAACUGGUGAAGAGGAUAUGGAAAUAAAAUAAACCUUAUCCACUCAAGAAGCUGGUUUGAUGUGCAUUCCGACCCAGCCAGUGUUGGUUUGUGAUGGGCGAAAUGGAUUAAUAGUUUCAAACUGUUCAUCACUGCUUCAGGAGUCAAAGAUGCAGCACGGAAACAAGCUCUUUUAUUGCACUUGGGAGGCUCGGAUGUGCAGGAUAUAUUCACCACGUUAGAUGACACGGGGGAAGACAAGGACUAUGAGAUGCCGUUGACAAAGCUAAACGAGUACUUCACUCCACAAAAAAACAUUCCCUACAAGAGACCUUUGUUUAGGAAAGCUGAAAAAGCACAGGGGGAUCAGUGGAGACGUUUGUGAGCAGACAAACAGUUGGCUGCUAUAUGUGACUAUGGAUAUUUCAAAGACUAUUUCAUAAGGGACCAAGUGAUUGACAAGUGUCACUCAAAUGUGUUGCGCAAAUGGGUUCACAGCAACAUUCAGUCAUUUGCAGACCAAAUGCAUUGUGCAAUUAAAACCAACAUCCAAGAGACUUUACCCAUAUGGUUUGUCACAAUCAUUAGCAGUUGAGGGCCUGCUCAAUGCCAAUAUUACAGCAGUUGUUCGUUCUGAGUCAGUCACUGCAGACAUUCUAGUCGUGAAAGAUGCACAGACAUCUGUACUGGAAAAUAAAUCAGCAGUUGCUCUUGGCAUUUUGCACAUAGGGCCAAAGGCACACAAACUCAGUCCAAGAUUAUGACACACAGACACUCAAAGCUGCACUCCAGGAGGAAUACAAAGACUGUUUCAGAGGGCUGUAAAAACUGAAAGAUUUCCAGUUAGGAAUUAAUGGAGAUGAGACUCACACCAGUUGCACAGCCAGUACGCUGAAUACCAUUCAGUGUCAGGAAGCUAGUUGAAGAGUAGACAAACGAGCUAGAGGACUUGGAUGUUAUUAAUAAAGCAAAUGGACCUACACCAUGGGUGCCCCCAUUAGUUGUAGUACACAAGAAAACGGGUGUCAUCAGAGUAUGUGUUGACAUGCGUAGAGCAAAUUAAGCUGUUGUGCGGGAGUGACACCUCAUCCCACCAUCAAAUCAAUCAAAUGUAUUCAUAUAGCCCUUCUUACAUCAGCUGAUAUCUCAAAGUGCUGUACAGAAACCCAGCCUAAAACCCCAAACAGCAAGCAAUGCAGGUGUAGAAGCACGGUGGCUAGGAAAAACUCCCUAGAAAGGCCAAAACCUAGGAAGAAACCUAGAGCGGAACCAGGCUAUGAGGGGUGGCCAGUCCUCUUCUGGCUGUGCCGGGUGGAGAUUAUAACAGCACAUGGCCAAGAUGUUCAUCAAUGACCAGCAUGGUCAAAUAAUAAUAAUCAUAGUAGUUGUCGAGGGUGCAACAAGUCAGUAAAACAAGAGUAAGUGUCAGUUGGUCCUAUGGUCCUAGGGCUCAGGUCCUCCGAGAGAGAGAAAGAAAGAAAGAGAGAAAGAGAGAAUUAGAGAGAGCAUAUUUAAAUUCACACAGGACACCAGAAAAGACAAGAGAAAUACCCCAGAUGUGACAGACUGACCCUAGCCCCCCAACACAUAAACUACUGCAGCAUAAAUACUGGAGGCUGAGACAGGAGGGGUCAGGAGACACUGUGGCCCCAUCCGAUGAAACCCCUGGACAGGGCCAAACAGGUAGGAUAUAACCCCACCCACUUUGCCAAAGCACAGCCCCCACACCACUGGAGGGAUAUCUCCAGGAGGAAUACAACGAGAUCCUGGAGGAUGUCAAGAGCUGAGGUCUUCUCAAAACUGGACCUAAGGUGGGGAUAUCAUCAGAUCAAACUGAAACCUGAGUCUCGUUCCCUAACCACAUUUGUGACUCACACAGGUUUGUGGCGCAACAAGAAACUAAUGUUCGGUGUUUCCUCUGCUCCAGACACAUAUUAGCACAUCGUCCGUCAAGUCCUACAAGACAUCAAGGGGGUCCACAACAUCUUAGAUGUCAUUGUGUUUGGGAAGAACGCAUAAGAACACAACAAACGACUACACCAAGUCCUGAGACGGCUGCAGGAGAGGGGGCUCACCCUCAACAGUGACACAUGUGAAUUCCAAUUGAUGGAGAUGGAGUUCAUGGGCCAAGUUCUCUUGAAGAACAGCAUCAGAGCAGCACAGUCAAAGGUGGAAGCGGUGCAGAGAACACGCAGCCCGACAAAUGCUGCUGAAUUAAGGAGUUUCUUAGGACUAGUGAACUACUGUGGCAUAUUUAUCUUUAAUCUGGCAACCACAUCUGAAUCGAUGAGAAGACUCACAAAAGCAUCAUGCAAAUGGACAUGGGGAGAUGAACAAGAAUCAUAAUUGAAUGCGCAGAAGAACGCACUGGCCAGUUCACACAACAUGGCCUGCUUCAAUCAAGAUGCAGUGGACUAGCGGCUAUCUUGAGUCAGAAGCAAAAAUAUGUUUCACACAGGCCAGUGUACUACGCUUGCCGUGCUCUCAUAGAUGUAGAGUGACGCUAUUCUCAGACUGAAAGAGAGACACUCGCCAUAGCCUGGGCGUGCGAGAAGUUUCAUAUGUUUCUCCAAGGCAAAGACUUUGUAAUGGUAACCGACCACAAACCUUUAGACACUAUUUAUUCUCCAACAUCCAAACCACCAGCAAGGAUUGAUAGAUAGGCACUGAGAAUGCAGCCUUACAGAUUCAAUGUUGGAUACAAGCCUGGGCCUCAGAAUGCAGCCUACUCACUGUCACGGUUGACUCUUAACCCUCCGGCACUUCUACACUACGGGGACGACCACAUCUACUAUGUAGCCAAACACACAGUGACAUGUGCAUUCACCCAUGAGAGCUGGAACAAAUGUCAGCAAAGGACCCAGUUCUAGCUACUCUAUGAACAAGCAUCAGACAGGGUGAUUGGAGCACAUGCGACACUGCAUACCGACGUGUUCAAGAAGAACUCUCUAUUGUUGGACAGAUAGUUCUACGAAGCAACCACAUUAUUAUGUCACGAGCAGCUCAGAAAUGGACUUUGAUGUUAGCACACGAAGGGCAUCAGGGCAUCAGAGAAUAUGCACAAAAGUGUGGUGGCCAAACAUUGAUAAAGAGGUUGAACUGCUUGUGAAGUCCUGUCCAGCAUGUCAAGUCAAUGGCACACCACCAAAGCAGGUCCACACGGUCAGAACAGAGCUAGCUACGAGCUAAACCAUGGCAGAUCCUUGGCAGCCAUUGACAUGUGUGGGCCGUUUCCAACAGGAGAACAGCUCCUCGUAACAACAGACUACUACUCAAGAUGGGUUGAUGUGAGUAUCCUAAACCGCAUCACCACCGCCAAUAUAAUCAAAAGCCUAACGGUGACGUUCACAGUCCAUGGGUAUCCUGAGUCUAUUGUGACGGAUAAUGGCGCUCCUCUCACCGUGAGUGACUUCCGAGCAUACGUGGAGGAAAACGGGAUCCGACACCGCUGCAUCACUCCAUACUGGCCUCAGGCCAACGGCGAAGUUGAAAGGCAGAACAGGAGCUUGUCAAAGCAAUUUGCGCUGCUCAAUCAGAAGGGAAGGAUUGGCGCACAGAACUACAGACGUUUCUCCCGCCACACUCAGUCACAGGCUGCAGUCCAGCUGAACUGUUGUUCAACCGCCAAUUUAGAACCAAACUGCCAGAGCUGUCAGCCGACAUGCUGCCAGCAGCUGAACCACACGACAACGACAUUUGGCUUACUGAUGCUGAAAGGAAGGAGAAGGGCCGACAGAACGCUGACAGAACUAGGAGAGCCACUGAAAACACAAUCCAUCAAGGUGACAUGGUUCUGCUACAGCAACCAACGCAGAACAAGUUGUCUACUACCUUCAAACCAGAGCCAUACAGCGUCGUGGACAGGAAGGGGAACUAUAUUAUCCUGGAAAGGAUUAGCAAGAGGGCCAUGUGACAUGUUUCUUUUGUGAAACAGUGGAUACAACCACAGCCAAGACAAUGGACUACAUGUGACAAAGACACUGACCGGGCAGAGCCUGACACACUGCCUAGACAAAUGCCUGCACCUGACGAGGCCUUUCAACUACAGCCUCGACCCGAAGACUCAGACAACAAGUUGUGCACCUGAAGGACUAUGUUAGAUAGACAUGUUGCCAUAAUGGAGAAGAAUAAUCUCUGGCACAGUCUCAAUGGCAGGGCAGUCUAACCCUAGCCAUCACAGAAAAGUUCCGGCAAGAAUUAUUUUCAAAAAACAUUGUUAACAAAAGAGUUCCAGCAACGUAACCAGUGUUUUGGUUGGAAGUUUAAAGAAAGUAGAAGUAAACAUCGCAGUAUGUUGUUGUUGGAAAAUAUGUUAAUACUGUAUACAAGAGAUAAUUUAUUUUGAGUACUGGAUAAUGUUUUGUUACAUUAUAAUGCAUAGAUCUGCAGUUUGGAGAUGUGUUAUCAUAAUGGUUAGUCAAAUGUCUAAGAAGAGCAGGGAUGUAGUGUAUUAGCGACACCUAGUGAUGCAAUACCAGGGGGGCACUAGGGUUACGUGAGGAACGGAGGGAGGCUAUGCUUGGGGGACCAGGAAUAAAGUACAAGUCAAUGAUUCCCAUCAGUCUGAGUCAAGUCAAUACAUUACAGGUCCUGUCUAGAAUUCAAAAAGCUUUCAAUAAAGGACGUUGUCUGCUGGAUACAGGUGAAAGAGCGCAGCUGGAGGUGUGGGAGAACACAUAAGACUGGUAUGUGCAUGCUGAAUAAGCCAUGCAACAACUGUCAAGAACUCCACCUAACCAUUCUCCAUGACGCAGCUGAACAAAAACACACCAGUGUGCUGAUAACAGCCUCCCAUUCACAGCUACUCUACAUGCAAAGGUCAAGCUGAAAGUCGUCAACAUCCUAAUCCACAACGGUAAGAAAACACUCCAGACACAUGCCAUCCUGAAUGAAGGGUCAGAAAAAACAAUCCUUUCCCAUGCUCCCUCCAACUUGCCUACGGCUCUUUAACCCCCUUCUGGUCAACGGGCAUGGACUACUUCGGCACAUUCAAAGUCAAGAUAGGUGGAUGUACAGAAAAAACGAUGGGGGUAUACUGUUCAAACGCCUCACCACAUGGUCCAUCCAUCUUGAGCUGCUGGACAGUAUGGAUGCUGACACAUUCUUACUGAGGAGGCAAGCCCUUUGAGGUCCUGUCCGACCAAUGGACAUAUUUCUGUGUUGGAGAGACUGAAUUACAGACUGCCUUUUAGGCCAUGGCCCCAGCACUGCAGCAGCAGCUAGCCAACAAACAGGUCAACAUCCAUCUGCUCCUCACUUUGGUGGAAGCUGGGAGUGAGAUAUCAAAUCAGUAAAAACAGCCCUUCGUGUGGUGCUAGGCAACCAGUCAACAACAGAAGCAGUCUUGCACACUGUGUUGGUGGAGGUAGAGGGAAUCCUGAAAUCUUAACCACAUGUAUCCUCUUGCCUGCCUGACCCAGGUCUAGUUACAUAAAAUAUAGGGUGGUGUGAUUCCUCUCUCCCACAAGCCAUCUGUUGCUCUAGUGAUCUCCAUGGUCAUAGAUCAUAGCCAGAUUCUGUCCGACAACUUCUGGGCUGCCUUCAUAUGCAACUACCUUCCUUCUCUUCAGACCCGUCAAAAAUGUGAAACUGAUAGGGCAAACUUUGAUUUAUGCCAGAUUGCAAUUAUGGUGGAUCCUUAGCAGCCUCAGGCUUCAUGACCUAUACGAAAAAUAAUUGAAACAUAUCCUGGAGUGGUAUGGCCGGGUGCGGACUUCAAAGAUCUCAAUACAGGGUCAAGAGUAUGUCUGUCCAGUGGCCAGACUGGUUACGCUACCAACUAUCGAUGACCAUAAUGCACAGGACUAAAACACAGAUUUGCUGCUCAAAUCUGGAGGCUGUACUGAACUGUGCCUAUAACAUUUCAAAAUUCCCUGAAAUGGGAAAUAUCCAUUGCCGACUGGGCAUAGGGAGCUUUGUUCAUUUUUAUUACAUUUAUCUGACAAUUGGUUUCAUUUAUAUGGACAUUUCAUUGGAUCCUUUUGUAAUAUUAUUUAUGCACAUUUGUUAUUAUGAAAAUGUUAUUAAAUUAAUUGAUUGACUAUUAUUGUUGAUAAAAUAUAAUUUACUGCACUUUUUCAUCUCUUUUAG